AUGGUUUUAAUGCUUUCUUCUAGGAAACGUCAGGUAAAAGUUACAGGCAGCUUAUUAAAGAAUUCCCCGGACUGGGGGUACAGAGACGGACACUGUACCCCCACGCCCUCACUGGACCGGUACCCCCACGCGCUCACUGGACCGGUACCCCCACGCGCUCACUGGACCGGUACCCCCACGCGCUCACUGGACCGGUACCCCCACGCGCUCACUGGACCGGUACCCCCCCCCCACGCCCUCCUGGACCGGUACCCCCCCCCCACAGCUCACUGGACCGGUACCCACCACACGCUCACAAAUACUACACGCCUGGCACGCCACACAACACACACACACACACACUUACAUAUGCUGCUGCUACUCUUCUAUUUGUCCUGUUUGCCUAGUCACUUUUACCCAACCCACACAUGUACAUAUUACCUACAACUACCUCUACCUCUGCACAUUACGACGGCGGUGCCGUUACUCCUCGUACAUAGCCUCAUUAUUACGUUACUAUUUACAAAAUGUUUGGUACUUUUUUUUAAGUCUGCAUUGUUGGGAAAGGGCAAUAAGUUGGCAUUUCACGAUGAAGUCUACACUUUCGGCAGAUGUAACCAAUACAUUUUGAUUGAUUGCUCAAUUCCGGGAGGCCAACCCGGUUGGGCCAAUCAAACACUAACCUUUUCACACCUAAGGCCGGCCGGGGCGUUUCAUUCCCUCACUGUUAAAUCCAUGACAGGAAGUGUGCCAGUGCACACUUAGAGAGCAGCGUGGAGAACUGGGAUGCAACCAUGAGCUAUCUACAGGCUACAAACCCACUUCUGUCUUUAAAGAAGGAAACCGUGUUUGGAAGCAUCAACUGGGGGGGGGGGGUAAGGGAACUGUCCUCUUUAGGAUGUAGGGGAGGCAGAGAGAGGAUGAAAUGGAUGUGAGGAAGGAGAGGAUUGGAUGAUUGUUGGUCAAAUUGGAUAAAAAGGGGUGGGUGGGGUUUCAAAUGUAGACAAGACAGUAGAGGAAGGAAUGGAAGAGAGAGAACAUUAUUAGAAAGAGAGGUCACAAAGAGCGCAGUGCUGUCACACAGGACAAUUAGUGUGUGGUGGGGGGGGGGGGGCAAGAGAGAGAGACGACACUUGGAAUCAGAGGAGAUCACUUUACCCAGGAGCUGUGUACACUCCCAAAUGGCACCCUAUUCCCACAGUGAAUAGUAGGGCUUUUGUGCCCGGAGGCUGCCUCUUGUAGGAACAAUACUCUUAAAUGAGAAGAACUCUGUGGUCCCCCGGGCCAAGCCUUCCAAACCUGGCAGAGAUACUGACAGCCUUCAGAUUUAAUGCUGUGCUGUACACACUCCCCACAAACCUGGAUUAGUUUAGAUAGUUUCCGUGGAGUGAAGUUGUAUUAGUACCUAGGGUAAAAUAAAUGCUGACAACCUCCAAAUGACUUAGUCCCUCCGUGAUUUGGGAGUCAGGGAUCACUCCAUCCGAGAUCCCUCCUGAUUCUGGGAGUCAGGGAUCACUCCAUCCGAGAUCCCUCCUGAUUCUGGGAGUCAGGGAUCACUCCAUCCGAGAUCCCUCCUGAUCUGGGAGUCAGGGAUCACUCCAUCCGAGAUCCCCCUCCUGAUUCGGGAGUCAGGGAUCACUCCAUCCGAGAUCCCUCCGGUAAACCUGGGCAUUUAGUUUUGACAGUUUUUCAGGAAUACCAUACCUGGUGCGUUUUACCCUGUAGUUGAGGCUGGCCGAUGAGUGGGGGGUUGGGGGCCGGGCCCCUGUAGCCCCCAGGGGCAGAUCUGGGGGGCCAGGCCAGGUUGGGGCACUGGGGCGGGCCCUGCUUGGGAGCAUGGGAGGAUACCGACAACGGAAGAGAGAAGGAGAGACGCGGGGCAACACGAGGCCAGGGGGAGCCCUCUGCUCCCUCGCCACAGCUGGAGGGGGGAGGAGAC
ensembl:lncRNA